ACCAGACUCCUACGGGAGGCAGCAGUGGGGAAUAUUGCACAAUGGGGGGAACCCUGAUGCAGCGACGCCGCGUGGGUGAAGAAGCGCCUCGGCGCGUAAAGCCCUGUCAGCAGGGAAGAAAAUGACGGUACCUGAAGAAGAAGCCCCGGCUAACUACGUGCCAGCAGCCGCGGUAAUACGUAGGGGGCAAGCGUUAUCCGGAUUUACUGGGUGUAAAGGGGGCGCAGACGGCGAUGCAAGCCAGGAGUGAAAGCCCGGGGCCCAACCCCGGGACUGCUCUUGGAACUGCGUGGCUGGAGUGCAGGAGGGGCAGGCGGAAUUCCUAGUGUAGCGGUGAAAUGCGUAGAUAUUAGGAGGAACACCAGUGGCGAAGGCGGCCUGCUGGACUGCAACUGACGUUGAGGCUCGAAGGCGUGGGGAGCAAACAGGAUUAGAUACCCGUGUA
rnacentral:rRNA from 1 species